AGUAGUAUCCUAACGGGAAGCAGCAGGUAGGAAUCUUCCACAAUGGACGAAAGUCUGAUGGAGCAACGCCGCGUGAGUGAAGAAGGGUUUCGGCUCGUAAAGCUCUGUUGGUAGUGAAGAAAGAUAGAGGUAGUAACUGGCCUUUAUUUGACGGUAAUUACUUAGAAAGUCACGGCUAACUACGUGCC
rnacentral:rRNA from 1 species